rnacentral:misc_RNA from 1 species
GAACUGCGAUAAGUAAUGUGAAUUGCAGAAUUCAGUGAAUCAUCGAGUCUUUGAACGCACAUUGCACCCCCUGGCAUUCCGGGGGGCAUGCCUGUCCGAGCGUCAAUGCUGCCCUUCAAGCCCGGCUUGUGUGUUGGGUCGUCGUCCCCCCCGGGGGACGGACCCGAAAGGCAGCGGCGGCACCGUGUCCGGUCCUCGAGCGUAUGGGGCUUUGUCACCCGCUCGAUUAGGACCGGCCGGGCGCCCGCCGGCGUCAAACCCCCAAUCUUUCUAAGGUUGACCUCGGAUCAGGUAGGGAUACCCGCUGAACUUAAGC